AUGAGUCAAGAAAUAAAACAGUACGGAACCCUGGAAACAGAUCCAAGUCAGGAGCAGGAUGAAGGAAUCAGAAAUCCGGUAAAGAGAGACUUCCGGCAGCAGCCGUGCACCGGAUGGAGGGAGCCACCAGCCCAGACUGAACGAGCUGACUCAGGAAACUGCACAGAUCAUAAGUGUAUAGCUCGAUGAGCUUUCGCAAUGUGACCAUGUGGGUAACCAGUAACCAGACCCAAUAAGAACUUACCAGAACCCCAGACGCCCUUUGGGGUCCCUGUCCAACCCAAGGGCAACAUCCCUCCUGGCUUCCAAAUCACAGAGAGAGGAAGGAAGAGAGGAAGAGAUAGAUACAUUGAUGAGAGAAAGAAUUAUCAACAUAGAUCGUCUGCCUAACAUCGAUGAGAGAGAGAUGCAACAUCAAUUGGCCGCCUCCUGCACACCCCCUA